UAGAUUGGGCUGCAGUUUUGGGCCUGAUCUGCUGCUGGAGAUUUGGCCUGCUGAGACUACUGGGCUACUGUUGCUGCUGGGGGCUGCUGCAACGGGUCGGGUCAGGUAAGAUGGGUCGGGUCGGGUUGACCCGACUGUGAUAUUAUUUUUUUUCUUUUUUCUUCUCUUUUUCUUUUUUCUUUCUCUUUUUCUUCUUUCUUUUUCUUCUUUUUCUUCCUUGCGCAGUCGACGGCGCUUCCUCCGCCUGGUGCAACGGCCGACAGUGGCGUGGUGGUCCUCUCCUCCUCUUCAUGUGAUGGUGGUGGAGGUGUCACGGUGGCGGUGCGACAGUGAUGAUUGCAGAAGGAGGCUUUGGGCUGCUGUUUUUUAAAUAUCUUGUUGCUAUUUUUUUCAAAAAAAUUUUCUUUGCUGCAAAACCCGAAUCCCCCUUUUUCUCAUUUUUUUUUCUUUUUAAUCUCACCAAUUUGUCCUCUUCUUCUUUGUUUUCAGGUGGCAAUGGAGCAAUCAUAGCCUAGGGAGGCUGCUGGAGUAGCUGGGGGUGGGAGGAGCACGCUUGGCUGCCGAUUGGCUAAUUUGACAUGUCUAGAAGGACCAAACUGUAGAAGAUGCAAAAUUUCUGGGGUAAAAAUGCAAUUUUAGAAAAAUAUAGGGCCAAAAUGUAAUUUUUAGAAAUUUUAGGGGUUUGAAUGUAAUUUACAAAAUACAAUGGGUCAAGAUGCAAAUUUGGGAAAA